rnacentral:rRNA from 1 species
CAAGCCGUCAAGAAAAGCUGCUAUUGUUUCAUUAUGGCCCGUACCGUAAACCGACACAGGUGGAUGGGGAGAGAAUCCUAAGGCCGGCGGAAGAAGUAUUGUUAAGGAACUCGGCAAAAUGACCCCGUAACUUCGGGAGAAGGGGUGCCUGCGAGAGCAGGCCGCAGAGAAGAGGCCCAAGCAACUGUUUAGCAAAAACACAGGUCUAUGCAAAACCGAAAGGUGAGGUAUAUGGGCUGACGCCUGCCCGGUGCUGGAAGGUUAAGGGGAGUGGUCAGGAAACGAAGCCACGAACUUAAGCCCCAGUAAACGGCGGCCGUAACAAUAACGGUCCUAAGGUAGCGAAAUUCCUUGUCGGGUAAGUUCCGACCCGCACGAAAGGCGUAAUGAUUUGGGCGCUGUCUCGACAAUACAUCCGGUGAAAUUGAAGUGCCAGUGAAGAUGCUGGCUACCUGCGCCAGGACGGAAAGACCCCAUGGAGCUUUACUCCAGCUUGAUACUGGGACCCGGUAUUGCAUGUACAGGAUAGGUGGGAGGCUAGGAAAUGUGGACGCCAGUCUGCAUGGAGCCGCUGUUGGGAUACCACCCUUGUGGUGCUGGGUUUCUAACCAGAGGCCGUGAACCGGUCUGGGGACAAUGUCAGGUGGGGAGUUUGACUGGGGCGGUCGCCUCCGAAAGGGUAUCGGAGGCGCCCAAAGGUUCCCUCAGAAUGGUUGGAAACCAUUCGAAGAGUGCAAAGGCAGAAGGGAGCUUGACUGCGACACCGACGGGUGGAGCAGGUACGAAAGUAGGGCUUAGUGAUCCGGUGGAAUUUAAGUGGGAAUGCCAUCGCUCAACGGAUAAAAGCUACCCUGAGGAUAACAGGCUGAUCACUCCCAAGAGUUCACAUCGACGGAGUGGUUUGGCACCUCGAUGUCGGCUCAUCGCAUCCUGGGGCUGAAGUCGGUCCCAAGGGUUGGGCUGUUCGCCCAUUAAAGCGGUACGCGAGCUGGGUUCAGAACGUCGUGAGACAGUUCGGUCCCUAUCCGGCGUGGGCGUAGGAUAUCUGAGAGGAGCUGUCCUUAGUACGAGAGGACCGGGAUGGACUGACCUCUGGUGUACCGGUUGGCGAUCAACGCCACGGCCGGGUAGCCAUGUCGGGACGGGAUAAACGCUGAAGGCAUCUAAGCGUGAAGCCCCCCUCAAGAUGAGAUAUCCCAUCGUAAGAGUAAGACCCCUUGAAGACGACGAGGUUGAUAGGGCAGGGGUGGAAGUGCUGUAAGGCAUGGAGCUGACUGCUACUAUCGGUCGAGGGCUUGACC